rnacentral:rRNA from 1 species
CCUACGGGUGGCUGCAGUGGGGAAUUUUGGACAAUGGGGGCAACCCUGAUCCAGCCAUUCCGCGUGAGUGAAGAAGGCCUUCGGGUUGUAAAGCUCUUUUGUCCGGAGCGAAACGGGCGGCCCUAAUACGGUCGUCUACUGACGGUACCGGAAGAAUAAGCACCGGCUAACUACGUGCCAGCAGCCGCGGUAAUACGUAGGGUACGAGCGUUAAUCGGAAUUACGCGGCGUGUUGCGUGCGCAGGCGGUGAAAUCCCCGGGCUCAACCUGGGAAUGGCAGUUGGGACUGCAAGGCUGGAGUGUGGCAGAGGGGACUAGAAUGCCGGGUGUAGCAGUGAAAUGCGUAGAUAUCAGGAGGAAUACCGAUGGCGAAGGCAGGUCCCUGGGUGAACACUGACGCUCAUGCACGAAAGCGUGGGGAGCAAACAGGAUUAGAUACCCGUGUAGUC